rnacentral:lncRNA from 1 species
UAACCACAACCUUAACCCCAAAUCUAAUUGGAUUGCUCACAUCCUCUCUACCAAUCUCGGUUGGUUCCCAGAGACCACUACAUUGUCGUGAACGGCUGACCACAGCACUUCUUCCUAUUUUGAAGGCCAUUUGAUCCUCGUUCGGCAAUCUGUUUUUUCAGGUUAUGUAUAUGAGGGUGGAAGGUUCUGCGAAACAUUUCAAUUAGACGAUGAUAGCCGGAGAGAUUGAAUCUUGUGGAAAGGUUGAGGAAAGAGUAGAGGAAUACUUGGUUGCGGAUACGGAUGGCAUUUGUGAAGAUCUAAAGAUUGGUCGACGAAUGUAUUGACAAACAAUUUUUUUUGCUAAUGUUAAAAUAUU